AAUGUGGCGUAACUUUGGGGCUGUCAUAGAUGCUAUAUGGAGAGAGAAUUCCCUGGAAUGCGUCACUGGGACAAACAAAUGCCCCAGACCUGAGCCGAGAGCUGUCAUUUCCCUUUUCUACUUCAGCAAAUGCAAAACAAUCAAUCUUAGUGGAUAUGGAUCCCUACGGUUAUGAUCUAAGCUCCUGCCAGCGUAAGGAUACAUUGGCCUGACUUCCCGUCACAUCAGUGGAGUUUGAGAACGUCAUCGAUCCAGAGUGAAGGGCAGGCAUUGUCCCCUCUUUCUCCUGAGAUCCAAGGCGUUUUCCUCUUCUCAACAUCACCUGAUUAUAGGCAUUGGGCAAGGACAAUCCAGCGUGGUCUAAAGAUCUGUCUAAAUGAGGAAGAGGAAAAAGCACUAUCAAGAUUUAAAUCGGGCUGAAGGGUCCUCUGGAGUUGAAGCCCAACCAACCUUGCCAACACCUUCCACAGAAAGGGAAGAUUGGAGACCGGAAUGAAAUUGCCCAGGGUGGGGUGAGGAGGCAGACCACAGUCUCCUUCAAGGCUGAGGAGACUACUCCUGCAGAGAAGCAUAUAUGUACGCCUGGCUCCAGCAGUAGGUCACCUCUAGGCACCCUUAACCAUCCAGGAAAGGCCUAGAUCAAAACAGAGAAUGAAGCUCCCAGAUGAGAGCAUCCUGUUCGUAGUCUGAGGACUCGCAAGGCAGCUCACUUCAGUUGACUAUACAAGACCAUGCCUUGGGCACUUCAUCUGGACAUGUUCACUCAAAAUCCGGCUCUCAAUGAUUCCAAAUGUCUUUAUCUGCCAAAUUGCAAAAUAUUUCUCACAGCAGUUAGUCCUGGAUUUAUCUCUCCCCAGCAGAGAUUGAGUCACCUUGAACAGGGCUGCCAGGGAGAUGCACUAAGGGCAGAGGAUUAUGUGAUUUUGCUGCCUUUAUCACUAUGAUGCAAGUCCAAAUAUAGAUUCUUACCUAUGCUAUGAUUCAUUCUCAUCCUCCUCCAAUGGUGCUCUAGGUGGCUCUUCAUGCACUUUAUCUUGCAGAGCUACUCAGUAGACCAAAGGAAUCUUGGGACUGACCAGGACCAUCGGACCUAACAAGCUCUCUCUCCCCAUGAGAUGAGAUCAGUGAGCUAAGAAGUGAUCUGUCCACAACAACAGACUAAUGACAACGUCUUCCAAAGCCACAUCAUGAUGCAACUGCUCCAUGCUGAAGACAGUCUAAUAUCCAGCACCUAGUGUCUGAUGGGCUCAUAAUGACCUAGAACAUGUCCCUAAUUGUCAUGGAUACCACAAAUCCCUGAGCCAACCCAUACUCAAUAUCACCAGGCGGCAAAUAAUCCCUUGUGGCAUUGAGUAUGGGUUGGCUCAGGGAUUUGUGAUCUCCAUGGCAAUUAUGGACAUGUUCUAGGUCAUUAUGGGCCCAGCACAUACUGAGCACCGCCAAUCUUGGCAUCUCUGUUGCCAGCCCAGCAGUGGAAUCCAGUAGCUCAGACAGGGAUGAUACUGGGUAGCAAGAGGCCAUUUCAUCAGCAACAAUCCUGUUUCCUAUAGGUCCACUUCAGUCAAAGAUCUCAUAUCUAGUUAUCUGUGGAGCAGGCAGAGUCUCUGAAAACCUACAACAACUCAAUGGAUAACAAUUAUGACCACACCUCCCCUGCUUUGGGAGGGAUGGUGCCAGGUGGCCACUUUUCCAAGAGGGGAGCAUCCCCUAUAGGCCCACCAUAACCUAGUUGGCUGCGUCAUUCACAGCCCAAUUGUGUAUGAAGGAAGAUUGAUUACAAACUGACCUGCCAUUCAACAGCAGGUGGAGUCCAGGAUCACCAAAGAUCCAAUAUUUCGGUUUUGAAUGAAGAACCUGUUGUUCUCAGCAAGGGAGCCCAAUGCUCCCAGCCCACCCCAGGAUCCUAUCAUAUCUCUGUCCAUCAUGGUACCUAUGUUCCUACCACUUCCUCUCCUUCUCCUCAUUUCCCUCCCGGUCCUUGUAUUUUCCUCCUAAGCCAGGGCUGUCAAACUCUGGGCCGAAUGUGUCCUGUGCUGGCCACGACUGCAACCAGUUUAGCGAAGGGGGGGAAAGUCCCGAUACAUCACAUGACGCCACCGUGAUGAUGUGAGUUUGACACCCCUGUCCUGGGCAAAGGUGUCAAUUCAUCCACAUAUACCACCCAGACCACCAAACAACCACUCAUCUUUGGAGCCAUAGUGGCGCAGUGGAGGAGUGGGGUUGCUCCCAGCAUUACUGCCAGUUCGGUGCCAGUUCGGUGCGCAUUUGCACAAAAAUAGG